UACAGAGGAGCCAAGCGUUGUCCGGAUUGACUGGGCGUAAAGCGCACGCAGGCGGAUGCGCGCGUGGGGUGUGAAAUCUGGCCGCUUAACGGCCAGGCGCCAUCCCAUACGGCGCGUCUGGAGUGAUGCAGAGGUCGAUGGAAUUGCCGGUGUAGUGGUGAAAUGCGUAGAUAUCAGGAGGAACACCUGUGGUGUAGACGGCUCUCUGGACCGCAACUGACGCUGAGACACGAAAGCGUGGGUAGCAAACAGG
rnacentral:rRNA from 1 species